GGAAGUGUUUUUUUUCUUUCGCAAGAUGACCGGUUCAUGAUUAAAACCCUCCGUAAAUCUGAAGUGAAGGUGCUUUUGUGGAUGCUUCCAAACUAUCACCAUCAUGUGCGCACAUAUGAGAAUACACUUAUAACUAAAUUCUUUGGUUUGCACAGAGUGAUACCCUCUAGUGGUCAAAAGUUCAGGUUCGUC